CACGGCCAAGUGGAAUCCCCCUUACUGUUCUCACCACAAGUGUGCUGUUACUUCUGUCCUGCUUUACCUUUCUGAGUUCAGAAUUUAUGCCCAUCUGGAGAGGCAGUGGGGCACGUGGUUAUACCAGCAGCCAGGGUGUACUGGGCGUUUAUGAUGCCAUGCUUCACAUCGGCCUUUCCGAUGGGCCCCAGAGCUACCCCCAGCUCAUGCUGCCUCCUGGACACAGAGAGUGAAAAUCACAGGGGCAGGGCUCCCCCGAGGCCCCCUGCUGGUAGGUAGGUGUCAGAGCAGGGCCAGGAGCCCCAUAGCCCAUGCCCUGCACCACUGAGCGAUCCUGACGCCCAUUCCUCAGGACUCUUGUGACUGGCUGGCAAGGGUUGUGAUGAGACACAUGUGUGGCCGUGGGAAGGGAGUCUGGCACAUCAACAACUCAUUGAAUUCCAAGUUCCUUGAAGAGAGGAACUGGAUCUCAUCUUGAGACAGAUGCUUCUUGCCUUUAAUUGAAGUCGUCCCGCAUUGGCGAAGGCUCUGUCUUCCAGAUUGCCCGUCCUUGAUUCUUAUUUAAAUCUCCCUUCAUAUUAUAGAUGCACACAUAAAUAAUAAACACAUAAAAUAUGUGUUUGAAUACGCACAAACACUGGGGUUGCUUAUAACCAAAUAAAUUACUGUGCGUUUUAAUGGGAAACAACUGAAAAUUGCAUCUACAAUCUCACCAUAACUAUAAUUUCCUAUUUGUUUAUCUUCCCAUUCCUUCAUCUGUGUGUACAUAGUUUUUAUUUAGGUGCAGAGUGUGUAUAUCUAUGGUGACUUAAUUUAAAUAAUCUUAUAUUCACUAGCAUAAACGUGCAUAGUCACUACAUUUAAUCUUUUUAAGGGCCACGUUGCUGUUAUUACUCUGUUAUUGUUUAUCUGACCAUUCCUCUUUGUAGUCCAUUUAGCUUAUUUACAGUUUUUCAGCAUUUUAAAUAAUGAUGCUAUAAAUAUCUUUCGCCUAGAAUUUGUUUUUCUCUUUAAUGACUACCUUGGGCCGAAUUUCCAGGACUAGAAUUUCAGAGUCAACAUUUGGUAUGCCUAUUUGUCCAUAUUGUCAGAUUGUCCUCCAGCAAGGUUGUUGCGGUUUAUGCUGCUACUGGUGAUGUGUAGGGUGCGGGUCGGGGAGCGUGAGCGGGGGCACCUGCUCUGUACCAGGCAGGCUGUCCUGCACCCUACUGCUUCUCCACACUCACUCCCACGACUAAAGACACCAUGUUACACACUCUUCUGUUCAACAGUGCAGUUGGUGGCCUGAAGAUCCAGAUGUACAGACAACUCAGGAACAGGAGAAGAGUGAGCAUGUGGGAGACGGAUCAGAUCCAAAAGGCAGAAACAGGCAGAAUCUUACAAAAAUGAAAACAAUGGGGAAUGAUUAUAAGGUCCCACACUUGUAUAUAAAAAUCCGUCUGCACAAGUUGAGGAUAGGGAGGCAUGGCUUGGCCUCACUCGGGACCCCAGGCAGAGACAGACUUGGGAGUGCUAUCUAACUGCAUGCACCAUCUGCCAAAAACAAGACAAGAAAUGCCACCGAGGGCACUUAACGUGUGCCCAACCCAGUGCUGAUGUCUUACACAGACAUAAUCCCUUUAAUCUGCACAGCAACCAGUGGGACACUUAGUGAAAUUGUGAUGAAAAGGCAGACGGAGGCACAGAGAGGUUAAGUAAUUGGGGCAAGACAUAGGGUCAGUAAGCCAGUAAGCAGGAGAGCUAAGAGAAGGGCCUGGAUCUGGCUGCUCCAGGGUCCAGGAUCAUCUCAGAGCUAGUAGAAGCGCUGGGUGUGUGUGGUCCAGGUCCCCUGCCUCCAGGAGUGCCGUGCUAGGGGCCGUGGGGAAGGGACACUAGAUUGGGAGACAUUCACACACAAGCCGGGGGAUUGGCUGAAGGAGCAGAGAAGAGUAGGCUCGGUGUGGCACAGAGACAGUCCCUGCCCCCCGCCCUGCCACUGACUUAACCUCAGUUCCAGAUUCUUCAACAGCCCCAAAUGGGGGUUACAACUGUACAAUUAAACGUGGGUUACUAAGGCCUUAGCAGGUAGCUGAGCACCUCACAUAUAGUAGCCAUCCGUUAAAUGUUCAGUUUAUUCUUCAAAUACUUGAAGAUCUGUUCAUGCGCGCGAGGGAUUAGCCGUGCUCUCUGCGGCCCAGAUAAAUAAGAUACGUUCCAUCAGUAAAUCAUCACACCACAGGGUGAUGGGUGAGGCCGCAGCAGAGGGGAACCAGCCUGUCUCUGUAGGGAAGCAGUGGUGUUGCGGAAGGAAGGAUUCUUCCAGGAAGAGCAUUUGAACUGGGUCCUCAGGGUCCCAUGGGUUGGAGCUCCUAAACCGAAGGGAGCGGGCUCCGGGGGAGGACGGCGUGCAUAGCUGCCUCUUAAAAGAGUGUGGUAUGUCGGGGCUGGUGAGCUGAAUCCCAACAAGGAGAAUCCACGGGGCGAAGUCAGCCCGUCCAGGGAGAGCUCAGCCCCCCAAGGUUUUCAAAGUCAGUUAACUCUUUCCUUUCAUUUGUUGUUACAGUUUGUUUCGUCAGAAUUUUAGAAGUAAAUGCCUAUAGUUUGUUGUACUCCGGUAGUUUUCCAGAGAGGCGGAUGACCUAGAAGAUACGUUUCCUCUUCGGUUUUUAAAAAAACCUUCCUGUUAGAGAAAUGUUCAAAAUAUACAAAAGUAGAGAGAAUAGUAAAUGAGCACCAUUCAGCCUCAACAGUUACUCAAUUUAUGGCCAAUCUCGUUUCAUCCACAACCCCCUUCCUGCCCUUUCCUUCCCUUUCGAAGAUUAUUUUGGAGCUUGUCCCGGAGAGCCCUUCCUUCCAUCUGUGACUAUUUUAGUGUAUGAUGCUAAGCUACGCAGACUCUUUGUAAACUGUUUUAGUUCGCUAGGACUGCCCUCACAAAAUACCACCAUCUGGGUGGCCCAAACUACAGACAUUUAUCUUCUCACAGUUCCGGAGGCCGGGAGUUCAAGUUCAAGGUGUGGGCAGGCUUGGUUUCUUCUGAGCUUCUCUCCCAGGCUUGUAGGUGACUGUCUUCUUGUCUUGUGCAUCCGUGUGUGUGUGUGUGUGUGUGUCUCCCUCUGUCUGUGUCCUACUCUCCUCUUCUUACAAAGACACCAAUCAGGUUGGAUUAGAGCUCAACCCUAAUGACCCUGUUUUAACUUAAUUAUUUCUCUAAAGGCCCUUUCUCCAAAUUCAUUCAUAUUCUGAGGCAGCCGGGGCUAGGACUUCAACAUACGAAUUGGGGAGGACACGGUUCAGCUCAUAAAAGAACAUAAGCACAAUGCUACCAUCACACCUGAGACUCCAGCAUUCCUUAAUAGCAGUUCAGUUUCCCCAACUGAAUUCUUUCUUUGUACUGAAUUCAGGAUCCAAAUCAGUUCCAUACGUUGCAGUUGGGGGAUAGGUUUCUUAAGCCUCUUUUAUUUUGUUAUUAUUUUUAGUAUUACUGUCCCUCCCUCUUUCUUCCCUUCCUCUAUUUUUCAGUGGAAAAGGUAAAAGAAAGCAGAGCCAUCUUAAGCCUCUUCUGAAUCUCCUUCCCUUCACUUUUCAUAGAACCCCAACCAUGUCAGCCUCGUCCGUGUGGGAGGACCGGAUGUGACAUUAAGGGGGCUCGGGUUCCCAGGACAUGCAGCACGUCCGCCGACACCAGGCACCGGCCUGAGGGCUGCCGAUCAUAGGUCUGCCCCAGCUCUGUCUGGACGGCUCUUCUCUGGUCUUGACUUAGCUUCUUCUUGUCGUUCGGGUCUCAGCUAAGAUGUCACCUUCUUGGAAGGUCCUUGUCCCCUGCCCUCACCCCCCAUUCUCUAAUCCCCGGUCUCCCCGAGUCCAUUCCAUGGGAGCCAGUGGUGUUUGUGCCCAGAAAACUGCUCAGCCCUUAGAAGGUGCUCGCUGCAUCGAUGCUGACUGGGGACGGAGGUGAGGGCCGUGAAAUGACUGUCUGUAAGGUGAUCUUGGCAAACCACGUCUCAAACCCAUGCCCCUGAUGGUCAUAAGAGCCUUCCCUUGUGCAAGCCACGCUGCUCUUGAGCAGAUGGUGGGCCAUCAAGUCACCGCGGACACCUCUUUUUGGCCAUUGGAGACUGAUCUUGACCAGAGGAAAACUACAGAGGGUGUUAACAGGAAGCCUUCCAUUCUUCUUUUCCUGUUACACGACCCCCCUCAGAUCUCUCCGAGAACAUCAUAGAGGACCUUUCCCCACGUAUCAGACUGACUGUUCCAGACCACAUAAGCACCAGUCCCUUGCCAUUGGACGUCUUGGCUGAUGUGAUUAGAAAUUGUGAAAAACAGAUCUCUCGCAAACAGAAGACUUUCACAUUCUCGUGACUUAGAGUCCUUCAUGCUGCCUUUGAAGGAUGAAGUCAUUAAGGAAAAUCCUGCAUGACAACAGUUCCCAUGUAGCUCACACUGACUGACGAGGGCCAGGGCACGCUGAGCAUGUGCAUGAGCUGCUUCGCCUGAACCCCGCUGACAUCCGGAGACGAGGAACCCGAGGCCCAGCGAGGUUGCGCAACUUGCUCCAGAUCACAAAGCUGAUGAGCAGGUGGCCCAGGUUUCCCACCCAGACAGUCGAGUCCUGAAGCUCGUGCUUUUGAACAACGGGCUACAUCGCCUCUCUAUGUGACAGACCGAAUCCUGCUGACACUUCUCAGGAGCAAGGAGAGAGUUCCCACCCACUCAGACACAUUUUAGGUUGAAGGCAAAAGUGUAUCCGGGAGCUUCUCAGAGCCAUAGCAGUGGGCCUGGUGGGUUCGGGCUCUGCUCUUUUGUUCAUCCGGCAUCCGAGAGACAUUCGUGGGGCCAGCCCCUGUGAGGAGAACACAGGGGGCGUGCAGAGUACCUGCCGCCUUGAUGCUCCCAGGCUGCUUGAGGAGCUGCUCGCCAUGGGAUGGGGAGGUGGGGAGCACACUCAGAAUCAGUGUGAGUUUCUUGGCUGCGUUUGUCUAAAAAGAACGUUGACCAGACCUUGUCCUUUUCAAGAACAGGGACCAGAUUUUGGUUUUCAAUUCUUACGUGAUUUUUUUACAUUCGUCUCCUGCAGGUGGUAUAUCGCUUAGAGACGCUCAGGAAAUGUCCGCAUAAGGAAAGAGCCUGUGUUUUAGAGUCCAGCAGAUGGGGGUUUGCACACCUAGUUCCCCCAGGUUGUUGAGAAAGUUAGCAUUAAUAUAAAAGUGUGUAGCACGGAGUCCAGCAAGUAGCAGUAAAUAGCAAUGACUUUUUCUGUUUUCCGCUCUGUGUUUUCCGGGAACCGGCUUAGAGGAGAAAAGGCGGACGUUGACGUGAACAGCCAGAUGAUCUUGCCUCUGCCUCAACCUCAUGCAGUUGAGCGCAUGUGAACUCUUGCAAGGACCCGUUGAGAAGCUGUGCUUGCCAAGCAGAGAACCCUCUCUGGCUUGAGUGUGCUCUAAGUUAUGAACUCCGUACAGAGACAGCCAGGCCCUGGUGGUGACCUUGAAGGACGCAGGUCGUGCUUUCUGACUGCCUUGCCCCCCGGGGCUGGGGCUGGGGCUGGGGCUGGGGUCAGCCACCUCCAACUCAAUGCUGCUGGCUGCUGGCUACAGAGCCAGCUCUGACAGUCACUAUGGGCGAGUUUUUAUUUUACCAAUGCUCUUUUCGCUGUAUUU